rnacentral:rRNA from 1 species
GCAGCCGCCGCGGGAAUACGGAGGGUGCAAGCGUUAAUCGGAAUUACUGGGCGUAAAGCGCACGCAGGCGGUCUGACAAGUCAGAUGUGAAAUCCCCGGGCUUAACCUGGGAACUGCAUUUGAAACUGUCAGGCUGGAGUCUUGUAGAGGGGGGUAGAAUUCCAGGUGUAGCGGUGAAAUGCGUAGAGAUCUGGAGGAAUACCGGUGGCGAAGGCGGCCCCCUGGACAAAGACUGACGCUCAGGUGCGAAAGCGUGGGGAGCAAACAGGAUUAGAUACCCCGGUAGUCCCUGUCUCUUAUCC